CCCGGGCCUUGUACACACCGCCCGUCACGUCACGAAAGUCGGUAACACUCGAAGCCGAUGGCCCAACCCGCAAGGGAGGGAGUCGUCGAAGGUGGGACUGGCGAUUGGGACG
rnacentral:rRNA from 1 species